rnacentral:rRNA from 1 species
GACGAACGCUUGCGGCGUGCCUAAGAAAUGCAAGUCGAGCGAGGUUAGGAGCUUGCUCCGAAGCCUAGCGGCGAACGGUCGAGUAACACGUAGGCAACCUGCCCCAAAGUGGGGGAUAGCCCACCGAAAGGUGGAUUAAUACCGCAUGUGGUCAUAAGAGGGCAUCCUUUUAUGACUAAAGCAGCGAUGCGCUUUGGGAUGGGCUUGCGGCCUAUCAGCUAGUUGGUGAGGUAACGGCUCACCAAGGCGACGACGAGUAGCUGGUCUGAGAGGAUGGUCAGCCGGACUGGGACUGAGACACGGCCCAGACUCCUACGGGGGCAGCAAUUAGGAAUCUUGCGCAAUGGGGGAAACCCUGACGCAGCGACGCCGCGUGAAGGAUGACGGCCUUCGGUUGUAACGUUCUUUAUUCAGGAAGAAGCGAGUGACGGUACCUGAUGAAUGAGCCCCGGCUAACUACGUGCCAGCAGCCGCGGUAACUAUAGCGUACU